CUAGAUCUCGCUCGUCCGUCGAGGAUCGGACGGUUCGCGUAAAAUUUACGCGAACAUUUGCGCCUGGUGCUGUCCAUUUCUUUUAUCUUUUCUUCCUUUCUUUUUUCCCUAUUUGUGAUGCCCAGGUCCCACCAACGGAGAUUGUGAGGGAUUUGAAGGAGGUCGGUGAUCGUUCUUGGUUGCUCGAGGUACCUUUUUCGGAUUCGAAUUCUGUUUCCAGUUAGAAGGCGAAAUGUAUUGCGGUCUAAACUCAUCUGAUGAUGAUGAUGACGUUGGUGGGUUCUUUUCUUGCUACUAUUAGGGUUUCGCGUCUGCAAUUUUUACUCGAUUUCGAUUUUUGUUUUUUGAUUCGAAUUCUGUUUCCAGUUAGAAGGCGAAUUGUAUUCUGGUCUCAACUCAUCUGAUGAUGGUGAUGAUGUUGGUGGGUUCUUUUCUUGCUACUUUUAGGGUUUCAGUCUGCAAUUUUUACUCGAUUUCGAUUUUUGUUUUUUGAUUCGAAUUCUGUUUCCAGUUAGAAGGCGAAUUGUAUUCUGGUCUCAACUCAUCUGAUGAUGGUGAUGAUGUUGGUGGCUUCUUUUCUUGCUACUUUUAGGGUUUCAGUCUGCAAUGUUUACUCGAUUUGGAUUUUUUUUUUUCGAUUCGAACUCUGUUUCCAGUUAGAAGGCGAAAUGUAUUCUGGUCUCAAUUCAUCUGAUGAUGAUGAUGAUGAUGUUGGUGGGUUCUUUUGUAGCUACUUUUAGGGUUUCACUUCUCCAAUUUUUACUCGAUUUGGAUUUUUUUUUCGAUUCGAAUUCUGUUUCCAGAUAGAAGGCGAAAUGUAUUCUGGUCUCAAUUCAUCUGAUGGCGAUGAUGAUGUUGCUGGGUUCUUUUGUAGCUACUUUUAGGUUCUUUUGAGCAGUUGGUUUUUUUCCUUCGAUAUCGAAACUCUCUGUCAAUCAUAUGUUAGGUUAUGAUAAAAUGGGGUUAAAAUGGAGAAGUAGAAUCAAGAUUGAUGAUUUCAUAUUUCAUGUUGGCAUUGGAUCAUAUAGGCUGCCUUCGCAUCACGUGUGUUGACAAACGAGGCAUCACAAGUCCACAACUGACGAUAGGGUUUUGUCAUGUCUAAAUCCAAAUAAACAGUAUUGAUGAAUCUGUGUUCUUUUAAAUUCGGCUUUCAGUUCUCCGCACAAUGUGAUUGUCUCCAACCAGCAUGGCAUGAGUAUACAUACUGGUAACAAUUUGAUGAUGCAGGGCAGCAUAUAUUCUUGCUUCUGUUUGUCAUGCAUACCACAGACUAGGGUUGAAGAGCCACUUGAAAUAAUUUGUCGUAAAUGUUGUGCAAUCCCUGAGGUCAUUUUCUUAGUCUGGUGGAUGUUAGAAAUCCAUUAGUACUUGUCUACGUACUUUCUCCUUCCAUUCCUCUGUAAAAUUUUCUUUUUGUAAUUUUGUAGCAUUGACCUUUUAUUCAAGUGCUUGGGAAAUUAAGUGAAUCUUUCUUCCAUCCGAUUUUGUUAGAUUCUUCCUCUUUUUUUUUUGUUUCGAGUUCUCUAUAACCUGUAUUCAAUGUACAUCGACACACACCCCUGCUUUAGAAGCCCUGAACCUAACUUUGACUAUGACGACAGGUCAUAGACAACUCCAGAAUAUGGGCCUUUUAAUUUGUUAUCCUAGUUUUUUUUUUCAAUUGGUGGUCCAUGUCUUCAAGGGAAUCCAGAGAUUGAAGUAAUUUGGACAAAGAUUAAUGCCAAAUACCACCUACUGUAAUGACAAAUAUUAAUUUUGGACAACAAUUAAUUGACUUUUCCAUUCAUCAAAUGAAUGGCAAACAUCUAUGGCUGCCACGACAACUUUUAGCCGACCCUUCCAAUGAUCAUUACGGCCCAUGCAUUUCCUACCAAUGAUACAUAAAAAAUGCUUGUCAUGCAUUGUGCUUGUGUGCCCGAGAUUUGAUGCACUGCAUCAAUUUUGUUUUAUAGUAGGUAUUUUCUUUAGGACAAACAUAAGGGAUCCGCAAUGAGUACAUUGAUCAGUGUUUAUAGAACAAUAGCCUUGUCAUGUCCAUUUUUGCCUGAAAAAUAUAUAUUAGUUACUUAUAAAGAAUAGUUGUACUUGUUUUCUUCUCUAUGUAUAUUGUGAUGCAGAUGAAAGAAUGCUAAUAGACUAUACCUUAUUCUCGGAAUACGUAUCAAUUGCAAGUGGCAAUGUAACCCUUUAUUUGUUUAGGUACUCUCUUUUCUAUCGUAAAUUGUUUUGGGAUAUUUAAUAUGCCAUUUUUGUUUGGCCUACUUGUAAAAGAUAAUGGAAGACUUCAUUGGGAUCCAUUUCAACUCAACUAUUAAUUAAAUAUACACAUCACGACCAACUUGUAUAGCUAACAGUUGACAUGCAUUACAAGCAUUCGCUAAUCUGCCAUCAUCUAGUGUCUACCUGACAGCUCCUCUAGAGCAGCUUAUCUUCAUUGCAAUGUUGCACUCUUGAAUGUUAUUUAUCCACCUUCUGUAGACCUAAUAAAACAUUUGCUGAUAUGAAUGCUCUGACAUGGCCCUUUGUGGACAUGCAAUUAAAGAAAGUAGUUGGUGUUUCACUUGUUUGUGUGACAAGGUGUUGUAUAUAAUGCUUUCACAUGGUGCUUUAAAAUCCAUUGUGACUGGAAGAAUCAGCUGUUUUGGAAAUCUUCCUUCUUUUGUUUCAAAUAACUCCGCAGUUAUGCAUGUGGGUUUUUAACGUUGUUGAUCUGUUGUUGAGAAGAAGGGGUUGAUGAAAGAUGAAGAAGAAACGAUAGUUUGGUGACAAUGAUGGAGCACGUUUUAAGAUGAGGAUGCCUUCUACGUGGAGGAGCUGAUCAUGGAUGUUCUGAUUUUGAUUUCAAGCAAAUCAACCAUUCAUAUCAACAUGAACUCCAACACUAGUGACGACUUUCUUGAUGACUGGCAUCAAUCAGUGAAAGCUUGGAAGAGUUGGUGAGCAGGAGAAGGCACCCUUGUCAGCUGAUGAGCAGGAGAAGGUGCCCUUGUCUGACAAUCUAUUGAUAUCAUGGCCAAGCAGCAUCUAUCUAAUCAGAAGCUGGCGUUUGCAGCUGGAGAAUUAGAUGGUCUUCUUAAUUUCCCCAUCACCCUCCAUGUUGUCAUGCUGGAGCAAUUUUAAUACGCAGCAUUCACAAAACCCACCAAUAUAAAUGGUUCUGACUUGGGGCUAAUGACUUUGUGAUGAGUUCGGAGUUCAGCACACAGCACAAGGCUGUGCAUGUGCUCAUCUUUAUUUCUGGUCAGGUUCAUGAGGGGGACUUGAAACACCCACCAGGGAAGACAAGAAAUUUAACAAAGCAUUGAUUGACUGAAAGCUGGAAAGCUUAAUGGAUUCAUUAUUCUCCAGCUUGGAGAGAUCUAGUCUCAGAGCUCUUCAAUGUACAGAUUCCAGUUCUGGAUGGGGAGUGGUGGUCAAAGCAUAUGUCUAGAGAUUAAAAACAACUCCCCUACUUCUCAUUCCCUAUGUUGCCACUGUGGACUUAUUUGACAAACGCAGCAUGGCUUCUCUUUUUUCUUAAAGGUUAGGAAUGAUGUUUGCAAGAUUAGCAUUUGGAGCACAAGAGAUUGAUGAAAUGAGGAGAUCGAUGGAUUGCGUUUGAGCAGAGUCAUGUACAAGACGAUCUCAAGCUUAACUCAAGUGUUAUCAUGAGUUAUGAUGGUUUCAACUUUGCUCACUCCUGGGGACAUAGGAAGGAUCAGCAUCUGGAGAAACAGAGGAUUAGAAACAGCUGGGUGACUUUGUCACAGUCCAACUCA